GUGUGUAGUUCAGUGGUAGAGCACUUGCCUCACACAUGGGAAGCACUGGGUUUGAUUCUCAGCACCACG
rnacentral:tRNA from 1 species